rnacentral:misc_RNA from 1 species
CUAAUUUCUGCCGUGUACAACACAAUUGCACAGAAUUGCCAUCCCUGACCUCAAGCACGAGACUUGCCCAACGCAACACCCAAGAUCCUGUGUCUUCCGAGCCCCCUAUGGCCCCAUCGUUGGAUCCCUCUAUCCGGGAGGCUGCUAUUAAAAAGCAAAGCAAUGGACCUCCAUUCAAGUUCUUGGUUCCCCUCGUCUAUGCUCCAAUUCUUCCUCUCAUCCGAAUCUCGCUGCGUAGAAAUCCAGUUUUAAGGGACCGUCUGUUCAGUGCUGUGCUGGCCGGUGCUUUUGCCCAUGGCUUUUACUUGGUGUAUCCUUUACCCAAUUUGCUUGUUGGUUAUAACGAAAUUCGAUUCUUUAAUUAUGCAUUAUGCUUCUGACUUCUCUGUCUUGAUCUGUUGAUUAUCGACUAUAUUGUGAAUGGGUGAGCGAUCAUGUUGUAUCACUGUCGCGUGUUCCUUUUAUUAAUUUGCUCAUUUUGUUAUGUGACAAAAUUGUAGAUUCUUGUCCUGUUUCUGUGAUGUGGACUUUUUUAUGAUUCGUGCUGCUUGAUAUUUGCUUUGCAAAAGUUCCCAUUUUUUAACUGUAUAUUUGGUAAAAUGAUCAUACAUACUGGCCUGCAUGAAAAUUGAUAGGAGUAGUUGGAAACUACAAUGCCUUUACAUACAACAACAGUGCCAUUAAAAAAGAAAGGAAAAAAAAUUUUGUUGUGCAAGUGUGCAUUGCGAAUGGAAGUGGAUGGAAAAAUAAGAUGGGAGAGGACUUUUUUGGAGAAUAUUCGUUAAAGCAUUUAGUGUGCUGUACAGUGGAGCUCUAAGUUGCUGAAACAAGUGAUGUCCCUCUUUGGUUUUUUCCUGUACAGUGGAGCUCUAAGUUGCUGAAACAAGUGAUGUCCCUCUUUGGUUUUUUCGUUCAACUAGGUCAAUACGAAUAAUUCACGAUGGUGAAGCUGAUAUUAUGUGAUCAUUCUGGUAAAUUUUCCAUAGCAUGCAGACAUGCAAUUGUGUAAAUACAUUACAUGGAUUCAUCAAGGAUGGAGAUUAUAUGAUAAACUACACAGAUGAUUAACCCAAUUUCUGAGAAUGACUAGUUAUGUUGCCAACUAGCCAUUAAGGUAGGGCCUUGGAAGAGAGAAUUUUGGAAAUGAUCCUUUCCUUUGGCAUUUUGUAAAUUGGUUGCUUUUAAGACUUCAACCUGCGCCCAGGUUGUUGCAAGUCUAAACUUUACCAAUUUGCAUAGUAAUGGCUCCAUGUUGUUGAAAAUGAUAUGCCAUUCAUUCUAUGACUCAAUAUGUGACUUUAUACUCUUUUAUUAUUUUGCUUAUGCAACAAUUUAAUUGCAUCAAUUAUGCAUCAAAAAGUUAACUGGUGCCUUAGCCUAGUGGUAAGGGUGAGGCUGUGAGUUUGCUACUGGGGUUCAAAUCUCACCAAUGUGAUCCCCUUCUCCAAUUCUAAAAUAAAAUAAAAUAAAAUAA